rnacentral:rRNA from 1 species
GAUGAACGCUGGCGGCGUGCCUAACACAUGCAAGUCGAGCGAACGGACGAGAAGCUUGCUUCUCUGAUGUUAGCGGCGGGCGGGUGAGUAACACGUGUAUAACCGACCUAUGAGACUGGGAUAACUUAGGGAAAGCGGAUCUAGUACCGGAUAAUAUGUUGAACCGGAGGGAUCAAAAGUAAAAGACGGUUCUGAUGUCACUAAGAGAGGGAUCCGGGCUGGAUUAGCUAGUUGGUAAGGUAACGGCUUACCAAGGCAACGAUGCAUAGCCGACCUGAGAGGGUGAUCGGCCACACUGGAACUGAGACACGGUCCAGACUCCUACGGGAGGCAGCAGUAGGGAAUCUUCCGCAAUGGGCGAAAGCCUGACGCAGCCACGCCGCGUGAGUGAUGAAGGUCUUCGGAUCGUAAAGCUCUUUUAUUAGGGAAGAACAGAUGUAUAAGUAUACGUUCCCGUCUUGACGGUACCUAAUCAAAAAGCACCGGCUAACUACGUG